rnacentral:rRNA from 1 species
AUUGAACGCUGGCGGCAGGCCUAACACAUGCAAGUCGAACGGUAACAGGAAGCAGCUUGCUGCUUUGCUGACGAGUGGCGGACGGGUGAGUAAUGUCUGGGAAACUGCCUGAUGGAGGGGGAUAACUACUGGAAACGGUAGCUAAUACCGCAUAACGUCGCAAGACCAAAGAGGGGGACCUUCGGGCCUCUUGCCAUCGGAUGUGCCCAGAUGGGAUUAGCUAGUAGGUGGGGUAACGGCUCACCUAGGCGACGAUCCCUAGCUGGUCUGAGAGGAUGACCAGCCACACUGGAACUGAGACACGGUCCAGACUCCUACGGGAGGCAGCAGUGGGGAAUAUUGCACAAUGGGCGCAAGCCUGAUGCAGCCAUGCCGCGUGUAUGAAGAAGGCCGUCGGGUUGUAAAGUACUUUCAGCGGGGAGGAAGGGAGUAAAGUUAAUACCUUUGCUCAUUGACGUUACCCGCAGAAGAAGCACCGGCUAACUCCGUGC